rnacentral:rRNA from 1 species
GAUGAACGCUGGCGGCGUGCCUAAUACAUGCAAGUCGAGCGAACAGACGAGGAGCUUGCUCCUCUGACGUUAGCGGCGGACGGGUGAGUAACACGUGGAUAACCUACCUAUAAGACUGGGAUAACUUCGGGAAACCGGAGCUAAUACCGGAUAAUAUAUUGAACCGCAUGGUUCAAUAGUGAAAGUCGGUUUUGCUGUCACUUAUAGCUGGAUCCGCGCCGCAUUAGCUAGUUGGUAAGGUAACGGCUUACCAAGGCAACGAUGCGUAGCCGACCUGAGGGGGUGAUCGGCCACACGGGAACUGAGACACGGUCCAGACUCCUACGGGAAGCAGCAGUAGGGAAUCUUCCGCAAUGGGCGAAAGCCUGACGGUGCAACGCCGCGUGAGUGAUGAAGGUCUUCGGAUCGUAAAACUCUGUUAUUAGGGAAGAACAAAUGUGUAAGUAACUAUGCAGGUCUUGACGGUACCUAAUCAGAAAGCCACGGCUAACUACGUG